rnacentral:lncRNA from 1 species
CUCUACCUGAAUGCACUUGUGAACUUCAGAAUUUUGAAGCUCUGUCUCCUGACAUCACAGAUAGACAAGCACUGAACUUGGCAGGAAAAUCAGUAGGAGUAAGUGGCGGAGGCAUGGGACUGGCAGAGAUACGGCAGCCCCUGUGGAGAGGCUGUCUACAGAUAACAUAACAAUAACAACAGGAUCUGCGGGGUUCCUGCAUGCGUGUUGGCUUCACUGGAGAAACUAAUCAAGUGGUCUGAGUCAUUCAAGUUAUAGUCUAUUUGAAGACGAGUUGAAUCUGAAACAAUGAGUAAGAUGAUGAGAGCUCGAUACUUAUGGUUUAAAUAUAAAAGGGGUAUCCCAACUCAGAAAGAGAGAGGAGAUCUGGAAAAAUCCUGCUUUCUGAAGCUUUUGACGGUAUUUUCAUACUGCCUGACUAAAGUGCAACAGCUACAUAUUGACAGGCGGUGGAAGGUGCAGUUUGGACACAGAGACUGACACACAGGAAGAAUACCAUGUGAAGACUGGAGUUUUGCAUAGAGAAGCCAAGGAGCUACCAGAAGCUAGGAGAAUGGCCUGGAACAGACCUUUCCUUAGUGCCUUCAGAGAGAGCAUGGCGCUGCCAACAUCUUGAUCUCAGACUUCCAGCAUCCUGAAUUGUGAGAUAAAUUUCUGCUGUUUAAACCAUAUAAUUUGUGAUACUUUGCUAUGGCAACUGUCACAGCUAUUAUAAGCACCUAACCCUUUUUUUAAUCUUUUAAGAAACUUUUUGCUUUCAUCUACUUUUUUUGUUCUGGUUAUUCCAUAUUUUACUUUAAGAUUUAGUCUUCUGUCAAUAAAGCAAUAAUUUCAGAUC